AGUCUGUUUCAGGGCGGGGUGAGAUUCCCCACCGGCGGUGAAAGCCCGCGACCGGUAUAUGCGCAGCAUGUACCGCUGAUUUGGUGAAAUUCCAAAGCCGACGGUGUGCGUGCCGUGUUUUUGCGCGGUGUGUUGAGUCCGGAUGAAAGAAACGGCGG
rnacentral:ncRNA from 2 species